UAUCUUUAAUUCCAAUGGGAAUGGAAUGUGUAUAAUAAAGUAAAAAGACCAAAAUACCCUUGUUAAUUUCACUCCAACCCUUGUUUUCAGAUUUUUACUCUUCAUUUGACCAGAAACUCAAACCCUAGCAGAGCCCCUCUCCCAUCGAAACUAAAACCUAGCCGAGCUUCUUCCCCAAAUUCAUGGAGGCUCCACCGGCGUCAGCACCGUCUCGCCGCCGAUUUGAGUUUGCACGACCACCCCUCACCUUAUUCUAGAAUGAAAUUCACUUCAAUCGUUCGUUUGCGUUCGUGUUCCAUCAUCGCAGCUCACGUCGGUUCACCGCCACUGUAUGCUUGCCGUCGUCGCUGCCGCGCCUCUAGCCGGAUCCUCCGCGUCGCGUGCUCGUGUUUGGUCUCUCUCCUCCAUUUGAGCUCGAUUGCUACAACAUUUUCUGAGGUUUUUGGUUUUUACUAGUUCAUUCAAAAUGAGUUUAUUUACGGCUUUGAAUUGUUGUUUUAAUUGAUACAUCCUAAUUCCUUUUUCAUGAUAUAUAGAUGCUGAUUUGUUUUUUCAUGUUUGCAUUCUUGUAAA